CGUUGAGUCCGACGGCUCCGUUCCCCUGCCAAGGCGUCUCCAAAGGGCGCUGGCACGUUGCCGCCUGUGAUGCCUCCUCAGAUCCAUGUGGAAGAGCUGUUCCCAGAUCUAACCAGGGUCGACUGCCUUGGCUUGCAAGGAGGCGACUACUGGAGCUGCGUUCAGCUCGGAGAACCGGCGAGCAGAAUUCAGCCCCUGUGUGAGCCGCCUGCACGCUGCUGCAGGCAUCUGACACCGUUUUUAGGGAAGGUGUCACACAUCUAGGGUGGAAGAUUCGCCUUCAGAGUGUGAGGAAAUGAGACGGAUGCUCAGUCCCAGAGCUUCUUCACAUCUGGUCUGCCUCCUGAAUUUGUCAAUAAGCCCACCAACUGUGAUGGUGCCUUUCCAGGCACGCCUGGAAAUCACAGUUGAAUUUAAUGCAGUAUUGACACUUCAGUGAACUGAUUUCUCUGAAUGCCAUGCCAAGCAGAUGAGAAGUCUUGUCAGCCAGUUUGGGUCAAGUCAGUCAUCCAAUCCCCAACCUAUAGCUUGUGGGAGUGGAGUACGACAAAUGAAGUCAUCAGAAAAGCACAAAGGUCUUGUGUCCUUGUGGGGAGAGGUGGAGGUGUAAGAGGAACAAUGUAUUUGAAAUAAAUCAAUAAAUCAAAGAUUCUGGUCCUGGGCC
rnacentral:lncRNA from 1 species